rnacentral:rRNA from 1 species
CGGCCGCGUCGACAAAGGAAUUGACGGGGGCCCGCACAAGCGGAGGAACAUGUGGUUUAAUUCGAUGAUACGCGAGGAACCUUACCCGGGCUUAAAUUGCAGACGAAUUACUUGGAAACAGGUAAGCCGCAAGGCGUCUGUGAAGGUGCUGCAUGGUUGUCGUCAGCUCGUGCCGUGAGGUGUCGGCUUAAGUGCCAUAACGAGCGCAACCCUCGUGGUCAGUUACUAACAGGUUAAGCUGAGGACUCUGACGGGACUGCCAUCGUAAGAUGUGAGGAAGGUGGGGAUGACGUCAAAUCAGCACGGCCCUUACGUCCGGGGCUACACACGUGUUACAAGUGGGGGGUACAGAAGGCUGCUACCUGGCGACAGGAUGCCAAUCUCUAAAACCUCUCUCAGUUCGGACUGGAGUCUGCAACCCGACUCCACGAAGCUGGAUUC